UCACGCCAACGUCGGGAGUAAAUAACUCUCAAACCCGGCUGGUCUGAAUCGUCAGACACAUCUCGUGGUUCAAAACUCCCAACCCAAAGCUGAUAGUCAAACCUUCCCUUUUAAAAGGUUUCUGUUUAUUAUGACAACGGAACCCUGACUAUAUGCUUUACGUAGACUUUGAAGAUGUUUGUUAAUCCUUUACAUGUAACGUAAAAACUUACCGUGCAAGAUCUAAAGUUGGCCUAUCCUUUGCCUGUCUCAUAUACGCGCAAAUCAUUCAUAGCCCAGAGGUGUUCAGAAUUAGGAAUACUUUCCUAUUAUCU